CUUCCAAAUCCCCAUUCUGAAACACAAUGAAAGAGAGUAUAUACAUCUUCAUACUCCAAACAAUAAAGGAAGAAGAUGAUUAAACUAAAUCGACAAAGUUCAAAAUCAUAAGACAGAGAUAGUUACGAUAAAAAAGAGAUACCCCUUUUAGAAUUAUAAUUUUCGUACAAUCCCUUCUCUAUUUUAACAAAAAUAAAAAAAUUAUCUUCAUCUUCACAAAUAAUUCAAAAAUAAUUGCAG
rnacentral:lncRNA from 1 species